rnacentral:lncRNA from 1 species
UGUGUCAACUUCCGCCACCACCGCGCAGAAACCAAUCGCCAUCACGCCCCCUCCCCAUUUACGCCCAGCCUCCCUCGCCACACGCGGCCUCCUGUGUAGCCAGCAUCAUGCCCAGCGUCGCCUCCCUCGCCGGCGCGCCUGCAGCCUCCACCAUAUUAUGGAGUCACCGCCGCUGCCACCGCCUUUCCAGGUCGUGCUUCCUGAUUGCAACAGUAAAGGGGGAUUGAAGCGGUCGUGAGGUCAAGGAGAGGGGAGGUCCAGGCAUUGGAGAGGAGGAAGAAGGUGGUGAAGGUUGUUCUGUUGCUGCUGAUCCUCCCCAGGCCAGACACGGCCAUGUUCUGUUGAUACUGAUCCUGUAUCACAGUGCCCACAAUAUGUUUGAGGUAAUGCCCACCAGGUUGCUUUUUGAUUAAUUAGUUCAAUUAUUAUAUGGACAUGUGAAGAUACUUUAGUUUGAUCGAGUCCAGAUAAUUGAGUUCAAUCGAGUCAAAUGUGGAGGAGUAACAUCUACGUAUAGAAAUUGAUAAUAAGUAAUCCAAUGCCCGAUUCAGUUCUUAGUUCUUACGUCUACAUAUGCAUGCAAUGACUGAAUAUUAUGACGACCAGUUCAGGAUUCAGAGGUAGAGGAAUAGCCUGCAAGUGUGCACCGUUUCUGAUGCUUGCACGGCGAGUGCUCUUCCUGGCCACCGCCUCGGGCACCACCAAUGGCAUCGGGAAGUAUUCAUCCGCCAAACCAGCUGUGCAGGCACCCUCCUCCGAAACACUCUCAGCGAGCCCCCUCACCCAAUCCAGCAUUCCCGGCCAUGUACUCCCACUUCCUCUUCAACCCCCUCCCGUUGGGUCAGGCCUUCCUUCAAUUCGGCGGACAUUGAGUCGCCGCCUCGGCUCUAGACUCACUGGCGAGUGGACUGGCGAGGGAAGAUGACGGGAUGGAGAUUGAUCACUAUACGCAAAAGGUGGACCUACUUUGUUUUGUUAUUAGUAUUACCAACACUAAACUGCAUGCAUGGGAACUGGGAGUUUGAGACGGGCUUGCAGUAAGUUGUAAGCCGCGACCAUACAAUUUCAGUAUCUAUUCAUGUGUACGUCGGACCUAGACAAGGUUGGAGGGCAGGUAGAGGACCGGUGGUGCGUUAGGCAUGCAGCGUGUGUAACAACAGUCGACCACAGGUGGGCAGCACACUGUCACUAGGGAAGGAGAUGGUGGCAGUGUGUUUUGAUUAGCAGCAGGUGGCUCCAUGGUGGCCAGUGCAGCAGCGAGCUAGCGUGUUGCUGUGGGAAGAGGCAGAAAAAUUAAUCUGUUUGUGGUUGGACGAUGGAUUCCCGUUCCCUGGUAGGCAGCUAGCUCUUGAAAUAAUUUCAGCAAGAACAACAUCCUCAAUUUGGAGUGGUCUUAUUCGCUACUGCAUAUCUUGGACAUUUUCAAAUGUAGAUCAGAUUAACUAUAUAGUAGACACUGUGCUGUUGGUGUUUAACUGCUCGUGAGAUACGCGUCAAUAUUGCAAUCAACUCUGACUGCAAUUGUAUAGUCUCAAGGGCCUGCAUUCUAUAUUGAAGGUUCAACAUUGAAGCUGCUUGCAUUGAUCCGCAAUAGACCUUGACUUCAGCAAAAAAUGAGGUAUAUUGAGCUUAAUGACACAUGGUUACAUACAGAUAGAAGAACCGCUUGUACUAUAUAUGUUUUUGUCCUGAAGUACCGUUUCUACUUCUGAUUCAUGUAAUGAAUAUUCAGUGUAUAUAGUUCAUUCUCUACACCUUUUUUGAAGAAAACACCUAUUUCUCUGUGUUUAUAUUUAAAACCUAUGUUUUUAUUUUAAAGAACACAUAUGAAUUUUUGUUGGACAUGAAAUGAGCUACCAUAACUACUAUAAUCUAUGCAUAUGGUUUCCGUAGAUUUUUUUGGUGAAGAGUUGGAAUACCAAAACACAAGAAUGCACUAGAUGUCCUUGAUUAUAGUUAUACUUUGUGUAGGUUUCUAUAUGUUGAAUUUCACAUGGAGCAACUUGGUCCGCGAGUUCUGUACACACUAUUUUCAUCAGCUUGUGUGGUAGCAACAAUAUUUGUGCCACGACAUGUAGUCGAAACAUAGGGAAAAACUUUGUGGAGAGAGAAGUUUCACUGUUGAAAACACAAUAAAGGCACCCUCUACUCUUUCCUCUGACAUAAACCAUUUCAGAUCAUCUUUGUCUACCAGUCAGCAUCUAUAAAUAGCACUGGUGAUAUUAUAAGUUGGCAGUAUUAUAUAUAUUCUUAGUUGAGAACUUGGUAGUUAGGGCAUGUGGAUUACAAGUACCACACCGAGAAUACUUACAUGCUCUUGUCAUUGCAGGUUUCAUGGUGGCAGUGCCUUCUUCUACAUGAUGGGAAUUCAACGGCAUUUUUUUUUGUUAAAUACUAGCUGGGUGUGUCGUCUAUUCACAGAUCGUGUAAUUUGACCAUCUCUUGCAGACAAAACACUCGGGGAAAGUUCCCAGCCGUGCACCUGUGACCGCUGGAGAGGCAUACUGUUUUAGGAAUUCAUGACAGACUGGUAGUGAGGUUUGUGUCUAUAGGAUGGAAUUACUUGAUAUGUCAAAAUGGUGGUCUUUAUUAUGCAAUUUAAGUGAUCUUUUGUUGAACCCCUCCUUUCCAGAAAACUACUCAUAAUGUUUUGGGAUUAUUUGAUUUUAGUAAGGUGACUUAUACACCUAGACGGCGGGAGUAUUAAUUAAUCUUUCAAGUUUGAUCUUCUGUCUGCAUAGUUUUAAUGAUAUUGAAUGCAUCAGUUCAAAGCAUUUUGUGGUGAAAAUCUAGGUCAACAACCAUAUACUAAAUGAACAUGCUACUGACUGCAUUUCCUGUUAACAGAAUUUAUUGUUUGAUAUUUGGGAUCCUCAGUUUCUAACAAUAAUUCAACCUGUGGCAACACACCCGCAUAUGCACCUUAUAGAGAUGAAGGCAACCUUAUUUGGUUGUCAGACUUGAAUAUAAGUCGAGCGUAGUGGCACGUGAAGCUGGUUUAGUCGAUUUUUAAGCCCGUUGCAACGCACGGAUGUUUUUCGGAUUAAAUGGAAGUGCGGAUUAAAUGGAAGUGCGGAGCUAAAAUAGGUAAUGAUGAACAUUGUUAGGGUCCCUCAAAUUUCAUCUUACAAAAAGAAAUACUCAGUUUAACCUUAUUUCUGACGUUUACAAAAAUUGGUUUAUAAAAAUAUUGCAUAAUGGCACAUGGAGCAUGUUAUAUUUUAUUUUUCGCCCAGUGCAACGCACGGGCAUUCUGAGAGAGUGAAGCAUAUUUGCUUGAGAUUUGAAUUAUUUUUUUAUGUCAGGUUUGUACGCUAUAUUGUUUGAUUAAUGAAAACUGAUAAGAGUAGUAGCAAACACUUGAUUGAGUAAGCUACUGGAUUUUACGAGUAAUACACAGUAGUUUCUUGCAAUAUUAUCUGCAUGACAAGAAACACCCAUAUUUGAUUUUGCUCUGUGAUUGGUUCAAAUAUCACUUUUUGGGCUAAAGCUGAUUGGAUACGAGUAGUAGUGUCAACAGUAAUAACUUGAAACAUGAUUUUAUCAUGGCUCUAAAUUUUAUUGCUGAUGAUUUCUUUCAGGAUAUUUGUAGAGGCUAUUUGCACCGUAGUUCAAGGCAGAUGAUAGAGUACAGGCGAGGCAACUCACUUAUAUUGGUACUCGUUUAAAUGGUUAUCUAUUCUGCCGGCAUAGUUACAUGCCAUAUUAAUUUCAGAAGAACAAUUUCUAAUUUAGUGUUGUGCUUGCAUGCAUUGUUAUGUCUAAAAAGAAAAUUCCAAACAAAAACAAAUAUAAAGUCACAGUUUGUCUUUACACACUGGAUAAUGAAUGUUUCAAUCACGCUAAAUUGAACCAAGGCUUUUAGAAUAAAUUGUGACCUCUAAGCUUGUGUGUAGUCAAUUACUAAAUGUGUAAUAUUAGCACAUAUUAGCAUGACUAUUUCUUAAGUGCAGCCAGCCACCAAUUCCAUUUGAUUUGAAUUAAUAUAUUACUUAUAUACUCAUUUAGAUAUUUAUUUAUGUCCUUGAUGGAUAUAUAUAUCCCUAAUCUCUCCCUAAUAAUAAAGCACGGAUUGGGUCUCCGGGUUCACCGUCACAAUACGCUUUCUUCACAUGUCAUAAUACGCUUUUACGAGAUAAAAUUGUAAUAUAAAUGAGGUGGUACUAAUUGAAUUGAAUCGGUACGAAAGAAAAUAAAAACGCAGCCACGCUUUGCCUCGCGGCGCUCCGCCCCGCCCAACCCACCGUUCCCUCCAGCCAGGCCCCGCGCGCCGCCGGCCGACUCCUGCCUCCCAAUCCCAUCUCCUCCCCACGCGGGGCUUUCUUCGCCGUUCACAGCUCCCCUCCAUCGACUGGCCGCGACCUCGCUGGAGGCAGAGGAUGGGAGGGUGCGGAGCUGGCAUCCGCCUCACGAAGAUCGAGCGGACCGAUCUGCGCGCCGGCGACCUCGCGGGAGGCAGAGGAUGGGAUGGCGUGCUGCACUCGAGACGAGCGGGCUCGAUUAAGGGGACCAGAGGUUGGCGCCGGCGGGCUCGUGGACGGGGAUGGAGAGGGCAGGUGCCAAUCCGGCGUGACAAGAAAGUUGUUGCGGCGCCGGCCGACCAGCUCCGUCUCCGCGAUUCCAUGGACGGCGGUGGCGUC